GACGAACCGUGCGAACGUUGUUCGGAAUCACUGGGCUUAAAGGGCGCGUAGGCGGCAGUUCAAGUCCGGGGUGAAAUCCUCCAGCUCAACUGGAGAAGUGCCUUGGAUACUGGAUUGCUCGAGGGAGGUAGGGGUCGAGGGAACUUCUGGUGGAGCGGUGAAAUGCGUUGAUAUCAGAAGGAACGCCGGUGGCGAAAGCGCUCGACU
rnacentral:rRNA from 1 species